CCUACGGGAGGCAGCAGUGAGGAAUAUUGGUCAAUGGCCGGAAGGCUGAACCAGCCAUGCCGCGUGAAGGUCAGUGCCCUAUGGGCGUUAAACUUCUUUUGUGCGGGAGCAAUAAUGGUCACGUGUGGCCAGACGAGAGUACCGUACGAAUAAGCAUCGGCCAACUCCGUGCCAGCAGGCGCGGUAAUACGGGGGGUGCAAGCGUUACCCGGAUUUAUUGGGUUUAAAGGGUGCCUAGGGUGGGAGGUAAGUUCACGGUGAAAUGCCCCCGCUCAACGGGGUGAAGUGCAAUUGAUACUGCCUGGCUGGAAUGCGGAUGCCGUGGGAGGAAUGUGUGGUGUAGCGGUGAAAUGCAUAGAUAUCACGCAGAACACCGAUUGCGAAGGCAUCUCACGAAUCCGCGAUUGACGCUGAUGCACGAAAGCGUGGGUAUCAAACAGGAUUAGAUACCCCAGUAGUC
rnacentral:rRNA from 1 species